rnacentral:rRNA from 1 species
UAACGAAUCUUCCGCAAUGUCCGAAAGGAUGACGGAGCGACGCCGCGUGCAGGACGAAGUCUUUCGGGAUGUAAACUGCUAAAACCCUCAGGUAAGUUCUGAACCGGGGGUGAUAAGGAGCGACUAACUCUGUGCCAGCAGUCGCGGUAAUACAGAGGCUCCGAGCGUUAGGCGGAAUCACUGGGCUUAAAGCGUGUGUAGGCGGACCUGUUAGUGUCUUGUGAAAUCCCACGGCUCAACCGUGGAACGGCUGGGCAUACUGCGGGUCUUGAGCCAUUCAGGGGCGAGCGGAACAAACGGUGGAGCGGUGAUAUGCGUAGAUAUCGUUUGGAACGCCAACGGUGAAAACAGCUCGCUGGGAAUGUGCUGACGCUGAGACACGAAAGCCAGGGGAGCGAACGGGAUUAGAUACCCCCGUAGUCC